rnacentral:tRNA from 1 species
GCGUCAAUGGUGCAAAUCGGAUAGCACGGCGGUCUCCAAAACCGUCGAUGCCGGUUCGAGUCCGGCUUGACGUGCCA